GCCAGAGGAGGCAAGUGUGGUUCGGAAUUAUUGGGCUUAAAGCGCGUGUAGGCGGCCGCGUAAGUGCUUUGUGAAAGUCCACGGCUCAACCGUGGAAUUGCAGGGCAUACUGCGCGGCUUGAGGUCGGUAGAGGUGGCCGGAACUCUAGGUGGAGCGGUGAAAUGCGUAGAUAUCUAGAGGAACGCCUGAGGCGAAAGCGGGCCACUGGGCCGAUUCUGACGCUGAGACGCGAAAACGUGGGGAGAAAACAGG
rnacentral:rRNA from 1 species